CACCGCGGUUAUACGAGUAACCCUUAUUAAUAUUUCCACGGCGUAAAGAGUGGUUUAAGAAAUAAUCCUUAAUAAUUAAAGUCAAGACCCCAUUAAGCCGUUAUACGCUCUCAUGGGUAGAAUUAUCAGUAACGAAAGUAACUUUAUUUUACUAGACUACUUGAUGCCACGAUAGUUAGGUCC
rnacentral:rRNA from 1 species